UCCGAAUUGGUGUAGUGGCUAACAUUUGGUGCUCUCACUACCUACCUUGUAAUCAACUUAAGUGAUCCGCCAAGCCCGGGGUUCGAUUCCCCGAUUCGGAG